GCUUGUCUUGUAAAUUCAUUGCAGAUAUCUCUGUAGGAAUGACAAGAGGAUAAUGAUUGUCACAUCUAUUUUAUUUCUCUCUGUCUGUGUGUUUGUCUGUCUUGCUUACAGGGACCUCCAGGAGUGGGCAGUGGCUCGGCUGUAAAGGGGGAGAAGGGAUCACUGGGUUCUGAUGGAAACCCAGGAGCUCAAGGUCCCAGAGGACUUACAGGACAACAGGGAGCCAAAGGAGACAAGGGAGAGAGUGCAGAGGGAUUGCCAGGACCGCCUGGGAAGGCAGGAGAGCCUGGUGAUCGGGGUCCCCGUGGGCCUGCUGGAGGCCUUGGAGUCAAGGGGGACCGGGGCCAGCCAGGUGAGCCUGGAUCACAAGGUGACAGGGGGGAGAGUGGACAGCCAGGCUCUACAGGGGCUCCAGGCCCGAGGGUGAGUAACUAUAUCUUACUGUACCUUUUAUUGGUCUAUCUCUUCAUGACAUAUUUGG
rnacentral:lncRNA from 8 species